AUUGAACGCUGGCGGCAUGCCUUACACAUGCAAGUCGAACGGCAGCACGGGAGCAAUCCUGGUGGCGAGUGGCGAACGGGUGAGUAAUAUAUCGGAACGUGCCCAGUCGUGGGGGAUAACGCAGCGAAAGCUGUGCUAAUACCGCAUACGAUCUACGGAUGAAAGCGGGGGAUCGCAAGACCUCGCGCGAUUGGAGCGGCCGAUAUCAGAUUAGCUAGUUGGUGAGGUAAAGGCUCACCAAGGCGACGAUCUGUAGCUGGUCUGAGAGGACGACCAGCAACACUGGAACUGAGACACGGUCCAGACUCCUACGGGAGGCAGCAGUGGGGAAUUUUGGACAAUGGGCGCAAGCCUGAUUCAGCAAUGCCGCGUGCAGGAUGAAGGCCUUCGGGUUGUAAACUGCUUUUGUACGGAACGAAACGGCGAGCUCUAAUACAGUUUGCUAAUGACGGUACCGUAAGAAUAAGCACCGGCUAACUACGUGCCAGCAGCCGCCGUAAGAC
rnacentral:rRNA from 1 species